ensembl:lncRNA novel transcript
GCAGCCGCCCGCGACUCGGGAUAAAGAGCGGCCGGGACCUGCGCGCUCGCCCAGCCGAGGCUCCAGCGGCGCAGUCGCGCUCCAGGACGUGAGAGCUGACACCUCUGCUUCCUGCAGCCCCUGCUCCCGCAUUGGAAGUCGAAGCCAAAGUGGGGCUGUUUUGGAGAUGCCAUCCUUAAGGUGAACGUCUUUAUCGCCACACUCAGGGACCAGAUUGGGUGACAUUUUCCUUCCCCAUUGAUUUCAAGUGCAUGCCACGCUCUGAGUCUCCAACCCAAGAUAAAAUAAACCUUCCCCCUCCGACAAAACCUUUGUGUCCGCGCCGUUAAUCCUUGCUGGAGCAGGAAGGUGCAACGCGCUUUGUUUCCGGAGUGAAUGAAGACAAACGCUUGCACCUUGGCGCUAACCAGACAAUAAACUAAUCCACUUGAAGGUUGUUAUCUGAGAUGGGAUGUGCGAGGGCCUGAGAGCUCAGCCACAUACUGUACCAGGAAAGGAGUUUCUUUUCAACCCUUUUUCAUUCCAAAAAAAAGACGAAGAAAUGAAAUGAAGUCAAACAAAUUAGUGUUUCCAAAUAAAGGGAAAAGACCUUGUGUGUUUAAUGA